AACGAACGCUGGCGGCAUGCCUAACACAUGCAAGUCGAACGAGCCCUUCGGGUCUAGUGGCGCACGGGUGCGUAACGCGUGGGAACCUGCCCUUAGGUUCGGAAUAACUCCCCGAAAGGGGUGCUAAUACCGGAUAAUGUCUUCGGACCAAAAAUUUAUCGCCCUUGGAUGGGCCCGCGUUGGAUUAGCUAGUUGGUAGGGUAAAAGCCUACCCAGGCGACGAUCCAUAGCUGGUCUGAGAGGAUGAUCAGCCACACUGAGACUGAGACACGUCCCAGACUCCUACGGGAGGCAGCAGUGGGGAAUAUUGGACAAUGGGCGAAAGCCUGAUCCAGCAAUGCCGCGGGAGUGAUGAAGGCCUUAGGGAUGUAAAGCUCUUUUACCCGGGAUGAUAAUGACAGUACCGGGAGAAUAAGCGCCGGCUAACUCCGUG
rnacentral:rRNA from 1 species